rnacentral:lncRNA from 1 species
AUGGGGACGUGCCUGCAGACAGCUUCUUGCCUCGUACGGGUCCACGUGCUCUCCAGAAGCAGCAUCCCAGGAGGGGUCCGGCCUCCUGACAGCGAUUUAUCUCCAUGUCCCCAGCAGACAAGGGACCUGGGACCCUCAUUUCUUGGGAGUGGCGCUGUGUGCCAUGGCACUGCUGGCAGAGCGAGGCAGGAUGGGGCCCAGGAGCAGGUGCUGGAGCACAGUGCAAUGGGGAGAGAGGCAGGCAGCACUCCAGGAGUGUGGCUGUGCGGGAUGGGGAUGAGGACAGGAACAUGGACAGGGAUGGGGACAGGGUGUCACCCAUCCCCACCCGGACCCCACCGGACAGCUCAACCGGCGAUGGGACACCUCCGACCCGAGCGUGUUUUAACUCGAAUAGCAACUCUAUUUAUUCCUACCUGUUCUCUGUGCUGUGUGCUAUGCUCCGUGACCCCACAGCUCCGCAGGAGCCGGCUCCUGUUGGGCACCGAGCUGCAGCCCCGCUCACCGCCAGGGCGCACCAGAGCCCCGCGGUUGCGGGCGGCGGAGCCGCUCCUCGUCCCGCUCGGCCCCAGCCCUGCUGCGGGUGCUGAGCCAGGGGGUAGCGCUCCCCCGGGCUCGAAAGGCUGUGCCAGCGAGCUGGGGCUCCACGGGGAGACCCUGCUGCAAGUCCCUUCGUCUCCCUUCCAUGCUGCGCCCCUUGGAAGUGCCAAACGCGCAGCGUGGGUCUCCUCGCCCCCGCUGCAAGUGCCCACUUCGUUUUCCCCUUCUGUCCCCUGUGAGCCAUCCAUCACCAGGGCAGCGAAUAGUUUAAUGCUUGUUUACCAAGCAUUCCUGCGAUGCCAUCGGGGCAACCUCAGCCCUGUGUUGGGAGGAGGCAAAUCGCUGUCCCGUUUGACAUCCAGCGAGCUUUUGGGGGAACCGGUCCAGGAAAAUCCUCUGGCUCGCCCUAUGGGCAGCCCGCUCUGUGCUCAGCUCAGGUGCCGUGUGCCCUCCCAACAGAGGCCAGGAUCUGUGCAGCUGCACCAGCCCUUCUGUGCGCACAUCCCAUCCUCAACUCUGUCCUUGGAGGCCCCAAAACGACACCUGGGGCCACCAUGA